rnacentral:rRNA from 1 species
UGGGGAAUAUUGCACAAUGGGCGCAAGCCUGAUGCAGCCAUGCCGCGUGUGUGAAGAAGGCCUUCGGGUUGUAAAGCACUUUCAGCGAGGAGGAAGGUGGUGAACUUAAUACGUUCAUCAAUUGACGUUACUCGCAGAAGAAGCACCGGCUAACUCCGUGCCAGCAGCCGCGGUAAUACGGAGGGUGCAAGCGUUAAUCGGAAUUACUGGGCGUAAAGCGCACGCAGGCGGUUUGUUAAGUCAGAUGUGAAAUCCCCGGGCUCAACCUGGGAACUGCAUUUGAAACUGGCAAGCUAGAGUCUCGUAGAGGGGGGUAGAAUUCCAGGUGUAGCGGUGAAAUGCGUAGAGAUCUGGAGGAAUACCGGUGGCGAAGGCGGCCCCCCUGGACGAAGACUGACGCUCAGGUGCGAAAAGCGUGGGGAGCAAAACAGGAUUAGAUACCCUGGUAGUCCACGCUGUAAAACGAUGUCGAUUUGGAGGUUGUGCCCUUGAGGCGUGGCUUCCGGAGCUAACGCGUUAAAUCGACCGCCUGGGGAGUACGGCCGCAAGGUU